GACGAACGCUGGCGGCGUGCCUAAUACAUGCAAGUCGAACGCAUUUUCUUUCACCGUAGCUUGCUACACCGAAAGAAAAUGAGUGGCGAACGGGUGAGUAACACGUGGGUAACCUGCCCAUCAGCGGGGGACAACACUUGGAAACAGGUGCUAAUACCGCAUAAUUCCAUUUACCGCAUGGUAGAUGGGUGAAAGGCGCUUUUGCGUCACUGAUGGAUGGACCUGCGGUGCAUUAGCUAGUUGGUGGGGUAACGGCCUACCAAGGCUGCGAUGCAUAGCCGACCUGAGAGGGUGAUCGGCCACACUGGGACUGAGACACGGCCCAGACUCCUACGGGAGGCAGCAGUAGGGAAUCUUCGGCAAUGGACGCAAGUCUGACCGAGCAACGCCGCGUGAGUGAAGAAGGUUUUCGGAUCGUAAAACUCUGUUGUUAGAGAAGAACAAGGAUGAGAGUGGAAAGUUCAUCCCUUGACGGUAUCUAACCAGAAAGCCACGGCUAACUACGUG
rnacentral:rRNA from 1 species